AUGAAUCCUUUCCUGCUUCUAUUGGUGCAGUUCUGGUUGUGUCACGCAACCUUGUAAAUGGGGCCUGACUAUAUUCUCUGGUUUGAAAGGCAUCCGGAAAGCUACGCCUCUUGCUACCAUUGUUCCCUAGCAGGCUUUGCAAAUGCUCCCUCAAACCUGGAGAGCCGUGUCUGAUGUCAAAACCACUGACAGCCGCUGAAGGAGCAGCUUGGAGGCCUUGUCCACGGGUGCGUCAGUCACAUUACUGUCAUCCAUGAAAGGCAGCACAGGACUUUGUGUCUCCCUAAAUUUAUUUUAUCUUUAUUAGAAAGUCAUAUAUGCAGACAAGAGAAGGGACAGAGAGGAAGAUCCUCCAUCUGCUGAUUCACUCCCGAAGUGGCUGCAACAGCCAGAGCUGCACUUAUCCAAAGCCAGGAGCCUAGAGUUUCCUCUGGGUCUCUCAUGUCAAGAGCUUCUCUCAGGAUAUGGCAACUUUGAACAUAUCCCCACCAACCCUAGAUUUUCAUCUACAGGAGCCAAGAAUGAGAUGGCAGAAGUCUACUGCCAUCCUGAAGAGAGGAGUGCAGUAACCCGAAAGCCAAGGAUCUGAAAUCCUAAGGAAGAAGGCAGUGAUGAAUAUGCCGCGCCACCCCCUAACAGAUUAAGAUGUGCUGAGGUGCAGCCUGUUUCAGAGGUACAU